rnacentral:lncRNA from 1 species
AAAAGGAGGACUGUGUAGACAAAGUCUUUGAAUGAAAAUGGCCUGUUGUAUUUCUUUUUUAUGAUCAUGGUUUUGUCAAGGUUUUUCCUACCUUGCUAUAAACAAAGUGAGUAGAUUGAGGCAGGAUAGUCACACCAAGGUGAGUCCAGAACUGCCCAGAACUGUGGUUUCCUGCAGGGCAGGCCCCGCAAGGGCCGGGCCUCGGCCACCUCCCUCCUUUCACCGGGGAUCACAGACUCAGAGGGUUCAGCACGUCCCGUCUCUGCUGCCUCUGGGACAGGAGGGGGGAUCAGGCAGAGCACAGACGGAAUUAAUGUUUUCUGAGAAUUUCUCCAGUUCUUUUUAACACGAUUUCUUUCAGCCCUCAGAGCCUCGUGACCAUGGCUGGCCAUGGUGAGGGUCUGAGCAGGAGGCUUGUUGGCACCAGGCCGAGAGGCACCACAUGCAGUCACACUGCUCAGGUGUCUGGCUGCCCCGGGCUUGCAUUUGCUGUGGCCGAAGUCAGCACGUGGCCAUUAGUGUCGUCUGCUUCCUGAGGGGUGUGUCAGGCUGUUGCUUCCACGAGUUUCCUGGUCUUAUUGGCCAGCGGAUCCAUCUUCAGCUCGAUUAUUGCGUCUUAGCUGCACAUUGUGGAAGUAAGUGAGCUGUGAACAGGACAACCAUCCGUGUAGCAAUGCUGGGCAUUAUUCCAAGCCUUUUGCGUAGGGCGCUCCUCCAGGUCCACGGCAGCCUGUGCAGCAUCGGCCGUCGCCCAGGUGAUACAGGUGAGGCCCGUGAGAGGGGCCAGGUGGCGCCUCCAGACUCACUGGCCUGCUGUGAGGAAGGCAGGAAUGGGAGCCUUGUUCCAAAGGUCAGGCCCGACCGCUGUGUCGGGGAGCAUGGGCAACACCCGGGAGGAGCGGGCAGAGCCCUGGAACAGGCCAGUCAGUUUCGCCCAUGGCCCUCACCCUGGUGCCUGUUGGCGUGGCCGGGGUUUCUGAUUCAGCAGGUCUGGCCUGGCUGGGAUUUUGCUUUUCUAAAGUGUUCCCCGUUUCUCCUGAUGCUUCUGGUCCAGGGACCACACUUUGAGAACCACUGGUUCGCCUCCUCUUCUCCUUCUCCGUAGGUGUUAAACAGGAUCCAGUGGAGUCAGAUCCCCGUGUGACACGUGCUUCCCUGUGACUUUUCUCUCUGUAUCUCCACGUUUCCGGUGCACAUGCCUUUACUCAGACUCCGACACUGGCGUUGCUUUUGUCUCAUCCCAGCUAGGCGACGUCUGCGUCAGCGCCUCUCAUCUGUGGCACGUGUGCCCAGCGGGCUCCCUAUGUGACGGCUUUUCCCACCUCUGAGUGUUCAUGUCACUCGCUGCAUGUUCUGCCACACUCGGCCCCUCUGCAGAGCCUCUCACUUGUUUCAAAAGAACUUUCCAUAGUGACAAGUGAGGGCGCAGUUAGCCUUUGGAACCCUCGACUCGGCUCCUCUGUCACCAGCGUUCUCUCCCACCCUUCUUUCUUGGUUUUGAACUACUUACUGUUUUAAAACAAACCCCAUUUUACUACUGAAUAGCACAGUGUGUUUCUAUUAAGAUCAAAAAUGGACCAUUGUCUCACAUAACAGCAAUGCUUUUCACAUGUAACAAAAAUAACAAUUUCCUGUUAUUAUUUAGUGCCUAGUCCAUGGUCAAAGGUCUGUUGACAAAAUGCCUUUUACUUUUUUUCUCUCUUUCUAAUUGGAUCCAAACUGGUUCCACUCAUUAAAUCAAUCUGCUGCAA